AACGAACGCUGGCGGCAUGCCUAACACAUGCAAGUCGAACGAGACCUUCGGGUCUAGUGGCGCACGGGUGCGUAACGCGUGGGAACCUGCCCUUAGGUUCGGAAUAACUCCCCGAAAGGGGAGCUAAUACCGGAUAAUCUCUUCGGACCAAAGAUUUAUCGCCUUUGGAUGGGCCCGCGUUGGAUUAGCUAGUUGGUAGGGUAAAAGCCUACCAGGGCGACGAUCCAUAGCUGGUCUGAGAGGAUGAUCAGCCACACUGGGACUGAGACACGGCCCAGACUCCUACGGGAGGCAGCAGUGGGGAAUAUUGGACAAUGGGCGAAAGCCUGAUCCAGCAAUGCCGCGUGAGUGAUGAAGGCCUUAGGGUUGUAAAGCUCUUUUACCCGGGAUGAUAAUGACAGUACCGGGAGAAUAAGCCCCGGCUAACUCCGUG
rnacentral:rRNA from 1 species